rnacentral:tRNA from 1 species
GAUGAUAUUAAUAAGGUUAGCGCACCUGCUUUGGGAGCAGGGGGUCGUGGGUUCGAAUCCCGCUACCCCGACAA